rnacentral:rRNA from 1 species
GACGUAGGGCGCGAGCGUUGUCCGGAAUUAUUGGGCGUAAAGAGCUCGUAGGCGGCCUGUUGCGUCCGCUGUGAAAGCCCGGGGCUUAACCCCGGGUCGGCAGUGGAUACGGGCAGGCUAGAGGUAGGUAGGGGAGAAUGGAAUUCCCGGUGUAGCGGUGAAAUGCGCAGAUAUCGGGAGGAACACCGGUGGCGAAGGCGGUUCUCUGGGCCUGUACUGACGCUGAGGAGCGAAAGCGUGGGGAGCGAACAGG